AGAGCACAUGGCCCCUUCCACAGCUUUGGGGAUUCAAGUGCAGUUUCAUGUGAAGGGUUCCACCUUCCCAGGCCACAAGUUUUUUUAUAUCUCAUAUCCCCAGCUUGAAUAGGGAGGGAAUUCUGGACAUGGAAAUCACCUUCACAUCAGGCUGCUGUGGCUCCGUUUUGUAAGCAGCAGAUGCUGAUGGCUGAGCACAAACAAAAUGUGCCUCCAUACGGGCUGUUUCACCUUUACAUAAGAUGCCUUCCCAAACUAAUCCCAGAAACUUCCCUUUUCUGCAGGAUUCAAAGGCAAAUCCAAGCCCAACCUUCUGAAGCAGGAGACCAGCAGCCUGGCCUGUGGGCUGCGCAUUCUCUUCCGGAUGUACAUGGAUGAGAGCCGCGUUAGUGCCUGGGAGGAGGUCCAGCAGAGGCUUUUGAAUGUCUGCAGUGAAGCACUAAGUUACUUCCUCACUCUAACAUCAGAAAGUCAUCGAGAAGCCUGGACUAACUUACUGCUUUUGUUUCUAACUAAAGUUCUAAAGAUAAGUGAUAAUAGGUUUAAAGCUCAUGCAUCAUUCUACUACCCUCUCUUAUGUGAAAUUAUGCAAUUUGACUUGAUUCCUGAACUUCGUGCUGUUCUUAGAAGAUUUUUUCUGCGAAUCGGAGUAGUUUUUCAGAUAUCACAACCACCUGAACAGGAACUUGGAAUAAACAAGCAAUGAUGGGAACUUAAUAUUUUUGUUGGCAUUUACAUCCCUCUGCUCUUUAAAAGGACGCUGGAGCUGAGGUUUCCUACCUGAAAAAUGAUUUCUCUGGAUUGCAGUGUCUGAGUUACUGGUAAAGAUGCUUAGAAGUCUUACUCAAACUUGCAACACUCCAGUCCCUUUUAGUGCUGGUGGAUUUUGUGUGUUAUAUUGGCCUCAUGUUGAGCAGAAAGCCUGUUUAAACAGUGUCAGCUCAUGCUCACGGGUCCUUCCCUGUCUUCCACGGCAGGAAAAGCCCCACGUUUUUGGCAGGUGUGGAAGUGAAACUUACCCAAAGAACUAUAGAUGUAAAGAUUGAACUUCUACAAGAAGUACAACUCAGGAGAGCUGUAUUUUGAAGGAUAAAAUGUUUAUAAUUGGGGAGUGGGGAGAGAAGAAGAAAUUAUUGUUCAUGGUAAAAGAUAUUUAGCAACUAUGGUAUUCUUAUUCUGAAGAUUUUUGCACACUCAGGCUAUCUGAGAUACUGGUAAUCAUCCUGUGAAAAAUG
rnacentral:lncRNA from 1 species